rnacentral:rRNA from 1 species
CUCCCUCGUUGCUGAUCCCAGGUUCGAUAGCGCCAAUUAGGCGCCACCUCGCCAAGAACCAGCUUCGGUGAAGCGACGGGCGGUGUGUGCAAGG